rnacentral:rRNA from 1 species
GAUGAACGCUAGCGGCAGGCUUAAUACAUGCAAGUCGAGGGGCAGCAUGACUGUAGCAAUACAGUUGAUGGCGACCGGCAAACGGGUGCGGAACACGUACAGAACCUUCCUUCGAGCGGGGAAUAGCCCAGAGAAAUUUGGAUUAAUACCCCAUAGUAUUACGGAGUGGCAUCACUUUGUAAUUAAAGAUUUAUCACUUGAAGAUGGCUGUGCGGCUGAUUAGGUAGUUGGCGGGGUAACGGCCCACCAAGCCUGCGAUCAGUAACUGGUGUGAGAGCACGACCAGUCACACGGGCACUGAGACACGGGCCCGACUCCUACGGGAGGCAGCAGUAAGGAAUAUUGGUCAAUGGACGAAAGUCUGAACCAGCCAUGCCGCGUGGAGGAUGAAGGUCCUCUGGAUUGUAAACUUCUUUUAUAUGGGACGAAAAAAGGCUUUUCUAAGUCGUCUGACGGUACCAUAUGAAUAAGCACCGGCUAACUCCGUGCCAGCCGCCGCUGUAACAC